rnacentral:rRNA from 1 species
AGCGAACGCUGGCGGCAGGCCUAACACAUACAAGUCGAGCGCCCAGCAAUGGGAGCGGCAGACGGGAUAGUAACACGUGGGAACGUACCUUUCAGUUCGGAACAACCCAGGGAAACUUGGGCUAAUACCGAAUACGUCCGUAAGGAGAAAGAUUUAUCGCUGAAAGAUCGGCCCGCGUCUGAUUAGCUAGUUGGUGAGGUAAUGGCUCACCAAGGCGACGAUCAGUAGCUGGCUGAGAGGAUGAUCAGCAUCACUGGGACUGAGACACGGCCCAGACUCCUACGGGAGGCAGCAGUGGGGAAUAUUGGACAAUGGGCGCAAGCCUGAUCCAGCCAUGCCGCGUGGAUGAUGAAGGCCUUAGGGUUGUAAAGUCCUUUUCGGCGGGGGAAGAUAAUGACGGUACCCGCAGAAGAAGCCCCGGCUAACUUCGUGCCAGCCGCCGCUGU